UUCUUAUGGUUACAAUUAUUUAUCUUUAACAUAAAAUGGGGAAUUACAAAGUGGUAAUGAAAUGCAAGGUUCGAAAAGAAUGUUUGUAUUGUCUGCCCGAGCAUGCAUGGGAGAGAUUAUUGCUCUCCAAAAGAGAAAGUUGUUACAUUUCAGUGCAACAUUUGCAUCUUACGCUUUCAAAUUGGGGUUUAUUGAGCAAGUAGUUUAUUGUUCAUGAAGUGUGAAAAUCUGUUAUGUGUAUACGGUGCUGGAACUUUCUAAUAUACCAGGAGUAGUGGAUUGUUUCCUAUCUGAUUCAGGGCUAAGUUUACACCUUAUAAGAUUUUAAUCUCUGAAAGAAUGAACUGUUUACGUAACGUACAUUGGGGCGUUUACACAAAGCAUAUUAAAACUAUUGCCAAUGUAAAUUAGUCUAAACAGUUACAAACACUCGGAGAGUGAAAACUCUAAAGUGUGUACUCGCCUGUUGACACGCGAGAUAAUUUUACCCGUUCCCUCUUCAAAAAUAAGUACGGGUUUGGGCCAUCUGGAACCGUAUUUAAGAGCAAUUUCUUCUUUAAGACACAAGGGAGGAAGCCACAACUGAGGAUCAGUCGGGCAGCAAAAUUACCGUUGAGAGAUGACAAUGCAACAAGCAACAACAUUCACAAACAGCUGCCAGUCAACACUGCCGAUAGUUCUAGAGUCGAUAGGAAGUCAGUGAAAGAGACUUUGAAAGAUACUUCGCGUGAUGAAUCCACAUGUCGUGGUGCUCAGCCUGACUGUCAAAGACGAAUUAUGGUCAGGAGGGACAUAUUUAAAAACCCAUUGAGAGUGUUCAGGAGAAAGCAAACUAUGGGAAUUUCCAAAUAAUUAUUUCAUACACUAGUACAUACUUCAUUGAUCUCCGGAUUUUAAAGCCAUUAGGUAUUUAGUGUUCCUCAUAUUUGUUUAAACACAAACUUAAAAUUGGCAUAAAAAUAUUUUUUAACUUGAAAGUUAGGUCCAUUUUAAUACAAAAAUGUUUCAACACUAACGGUACUUGAACCUUAUCUGAAAACAUUCAUGGAAUCCCAUUGUUUGAAAUGGUCUACACAUUAUUCUCUGUUAACUAAAAAAUGUGUAUUCAAAUUAGUACUACUUCAUCAGUUACACUAUCGAAUCUGUUGGAAAAGCUAUCUGUGAUUUAAUGUAUGUUUUUUUAGUAAAGACAAUUUUAUUCUUCAAUUUGCA